UACGAAGGGGGCUAGCGUUGCUCGGAAUUACUGGGCGUAAAGGGCGCGUAGGCGGCCUGCUAAGUCGGACGUGAAAUCCCUCGGCUCAACCGGGGAACUGCGUCCGAUACUGGCGAGGCUUGAAUCCGGGAGAGGGAUGUGGAAUUCCAGGUGUAGCGGUGAAAUGCGUAGAUAUCCGGAGGAACACCGGUGGCGAAGGCGGCUUCCUGGACCGACACUGACGCUGAGGCGCGAAAGCUAGGGGAGCAAACGGGG
rnacentral:rRNA from 1 species